rnacentral:rRNA from 1 species
UUGCUCUUCAACGAGGAAUGCCUAGUAAGCGCAUGUCAUCAGCAUGCGUUGAUUACGUCCCUGCCCUUUGUACACACCGCCCGUCGCUACUACCGAUUGAAUGGCUCAGUGAGGCCUUCGGACUGGCCCNAGGGAGGUUGGCAACGACCACCCCGGGCCGGAAAGUUCGUCAAACUCGGUCAUUUAGAGGAAGUAAAAGUCGUAACAAGGUUUCCGUAGGUGAACCUGCGGAAGGAUCAUUAUCGUAGGGCUCCGGCCCUGUCGAGAUAGAACCCUUGCCUUUUUGAGUACCUCUUCGUUUCCUCGGCGGGCUCGCCCGCCAGUGGGGACCACAAAAAACACUUUGUAAUACCUGUACUGUCUGAGAAACAAACAAAAAUUAAAACUUUCAACAACGGAUCUCUUGGUUCUGGCAUCGAUGAAGAGCGCAGCGAAAUGCGAUAAGUAGUGUGAAUUGCAGAAUUCAGUGAAUCAUCGAAUCUUUGAACGCACAUUGCGCCCUUUGGUAUUCCUUAGGGCAUGCCUGUUCGAGCGUCAUUUAAACCUUCAAGCUCAGCUUGGUGAUGGGUGACUGUCCGCCGCCCCCGGGCGCGGACUCGCCCCAAAUUCAUUGGCGGCCGGUACGUUGGCUUCGAGCGCAGCAGAAACGCGAACUCGUGGCCCUCUUGUGCUGGCUCCCAGGAGCAAUUUCACAAUUUUGACCUCGGAUCAGGUAGGGAUACCCGCUGAACUUAAGCAUAUCAAUAAGCGGAGGA